rnacentral:tRNA from 1 species
GAGAUUUUAUUAUAAUUUAGUAUUAUUUUUUUUCGAGAAAUAGGUUUGAAUCUUU